UACACUUCCCUCUUGCUUGCUAGAAAUGUGCUGAAUCUCCACAGAGUCUCAGAAGAAGAAAUGUAAUGUCUUAAAUGAGAAUGCUUACAAAUGCCUUGCUGGUCUGACAGUGUGGCAUUAUUUAAUAUGAAUUCAAUGUAGUAUUAAAAAAUACUAUGUUUCAGCACCUGCGGUCUGGAAUAGUGAUUGACAACCAGCAUGGGGCAGGGCAGAGGAGGCAAUCCAGAAGGAAGAACCACAUAACCAAGUGUGAUGGCAGUGCUGGAGAAUAUUUCUAGGACUCGGGAUGAAUGACAGUUCACCAGGAAAUGCUGUACACAGGAAUGUCAUAAGACAACUGCACACAUACAAAGAAAUAAUGGAAUAGAUGACUUCCAUAUUUUGCAGCUAAAACCAAUCACAAAAAUCUCUGCCCUAAAACCAAAAAAACAAACAAAGAAAAAACAAAGUACUUAAUGCCAGAAAGAGCAUGUGAGUUGGGAAGUGAAAACAAGCCUGUGGCAACAAGGGCUGCUGGUGACUAGAAGAUGGUCCAAGUAAAUCCAAAAAUGCAGUAUAAAUAUAUGACGAUUUAAGCUCAUAUUAAGAACUUGCUCCCUGUCAAUUGAACUGCAGGCCUGCAGCUGUAAACCCUGUCACUGCCUAAUGCAGUUGGUUUUCACCUGUAUACACAUUGAUAGUCUUCACACCACCUUUCACCUUCUUUGGAGAGGCUGCCUAAUAAUAUCUGCAAGGCUAUUUUAACUGUAGAAGAGAAUAACAGCAACCUGUUCUUGUUUAUUUUCUUUGCUGUGUACUAGUAGUGGCAAAAUCACUUACUAUACUGUGUACAGUGAAUCAGGAGUAUAAAACUUCCUUAGAAAGAUGCCAAUACUUUAACUGUUUAUAAUGACAAAGAAAAUAGAAAAACAGUAUCAAACUAGCAUGUUUAUGCAACCUCCUGUUUUUAUCCAAGUGUUAAUGCUAUAUUGUGGGCUUUUCCCUAAACCAGAUAACUGUAAGUACUGAUUUCAUUGAUGAGUUUUAAAAGGCAGCAUUCACUGCUACUGAGGGUCUCCUCCUUGCAGCUGUUGCAGUGAUGGCUUAUACUUAAUGAAUUUUUCUCCCUGUUCCCUCUGAAAACUCAACACCUAUAAUUUAACAUUUAAAACACAGCCUCUAUUUAAACAUCUCACAACAACGAAAAUGCAUACGCAUUGAGAGCAUUUUAUUUCUUGUAACAAAAUCAUUAGAUUCAUGCAGCAACAACUGAACUGCUCCAUACACAGUAUAUAGUUAAAACUGCACAACUGAAGCCAAAAUAUGCACAGCUAAAAGGAAUGUUACAGGGGGGCCUCUCUUAGUGAACAAAGCAGGCUCAGUUUGGCUCUUUUUCCCCAGCGCUACCACAUCCGCACAUCGUUAGUUGGAAAAUUCCAGAUAUAUGCUGUAAUUUUUUGUGCUUUUUUUUCCCAGUACACUUGAGGCUUUAGUGUCCAGAUGCCAUUUUCCCCCCCUUAUCUGUCCCUGCUAGUUUGGGUCUUUGCCAGUUGUGGUCAACAAUUAAUACAGCAAAAGAAAAAUACAGUACACUCCCUGGCAACUGGCAGAGGCUCACAGGAAAUACCAAAUAAAAACUUUAUUAUGUAUUGUUUAACUAUUUUGUUUGCCUGUGGGCCACCCUGUUGUUGGUGUAAUUUAGAAAAGCAUGCUCCAUCUGGAUGAUCUGUGCGCAGGCUCAUUGUUCCCAGAAUCUGUCACGCACAAUCACUGCUUCAGCCUGUGGCCCUCUGCAGAAAGAAGCAAAGGCAUGGCAGCCCUCCAGCCUGCAUUCCUUUUCAUUAGACAACUUGUGACCAAAUGUUAGAAUAGAAGAGUAACCUUUUAAUAUUCAUGUAAUUAAUUUACUUUCCCCUUUAAUUAUAAACCUUCACGUGAAAAGAAGAAAAUAAAAAGACUUUCCUUCAUGAUUCUCCUCCCUCCCCCAUCCUUUCUGCUUGUUUUUUUGGGACAUGGAAGGUGCUGGGAGUUUCAUUAUGCAUAGGUACCGGCACCUAUGAAUAUUGGGAAAUUCUCAUGGUCAUAAUACUUGUGUGGGUUUUUACGUAUUAAUUGCUCUGAUACAUUGAAUAUAUUCUGAAUUAUAAUAAAACGGAGAAAUGAAAUUCUUUCCAGCUAUAUGCCCUUGCAGCAUCUGCUUCCUUGUCUUAAUCAGUGGGGCAAUCCAUUGAACACAAAGCCAUUCUUCUAUAUUUGAAAACACAAUAGACAUCUAAUUGAAGCUGCUUUUCAUACUAAGGUCACCUUAUGACUCAAAAUACUGUGUCAUAUGGGAUUUUGGCUGUGCGGGCUUAGGUUUGCCAAUUCUCCUCUUUUCUUAAAAACCAGUGCCGUUUUUUUCAGCUGAGGUUAGACUAAUGCUGAACUUUUUAACAUGAUACAAACAUUUGCCUCCCACAACCCAACAACUACAUUUGCUUGCUAAGGAAAGCAUCUGUUGAUGCCGGCGGUAAGGUUCCCCCAUAAGAGUUAAUUGCAGCACACUGAGCUGGGGCCUAAAUUUCCAUGUUUACAUCUUCAUUGCUGCAGCCCAUUCAAAGGAAUCCCAUUGGAAUAGGUGGUAAUUCAAGUAGAUGAAACUAAGAUAGAAAUUGCGUGUCUUCAAGUCACAGGAUUUAAGUUCUUGUUGUCUGAUUUUGAUUGCAGGUUCAAUAGCUGAUGAGGACAUUAAAAACUCACAGAAUUCACUUGGCAUAUCAAAGGAUGGGGGUCCAAAGGCAGUCAAGUAUCCUAUGGUUUCCAUGGCAACUGAACAAAUGUUACUG